AUGUUCACACUCUUGGAAGAUGACAAUCAAGUCAAAAACUUGAUAGAAUUGACAAAGAUAUUAAAAUAUCCUUAUGGAAGGAAAAUAUUGUUUGGAAUAUUUAGAGCAAGAGGGGGAAAAAAAAGGUAUAGACUCCUCAUCUCCAUGACCAAAACCAUGAAUAGCUUCCUCCUCGAAGAAAUUAUAAAUCUCUCUCCCUUUCUUUCUGUUAUAAAAUAUACACAUUGAAAUCUUAUUCAAAGAACUAACUUAGGAAUAUCUUUGAGAAG
rnacentral:lncRNA from 1 species